GACGAACGCUGGCGGCGUGCCUAAUACAUGCAAGUAGAACGCUGACGGAGGAGCUUGCUCCUCUGGAUGAGUUGCGAACGGGUGAGUAACGCGUAGGUAACCUGCCUUGCAGCGGGGGAUAACUAUUGGAAACGAUAGCUAAUACCGCAUAAGAGUAGAUGUUGCAUGACAUUUACUUAAUAGGUGCAAUUGCAUCACUACCAGAUGGCCAUGCGGUGUAUUAGCUAGGUGGUGGGGUAACGGCUUACCAAGGCGACGAUACAUAGCCGGCCCGAGAAGGGGAUCGGCCACACUGGGACUGGGACACGGCCCAGACUCCUACGGGAGGCAGCAGUAGGGGAUCUUCGGCAAAGGACGGAAGUCUGACCGAGCAACGCCGCGGGAGUGAAGAAGGGUUUCGGAUCGUAAAGCUCUGUUGUAAGAGAAGAACGAGUGUGAGAGUGAAAAGUUCACGCUGUGACGGUAUCUUACCAGAAAGGGACGGCUAACUACGUG
rnacentral:rRNA from 1 species